UCGUGGGAGUUGGUUAGAAUGAUACUGAGAUUCUAAAGCUUGCUCAAGGGUGGGCUCCUUUUGUGGACAUCAAAGAUAGAUGUAAUUGUCAACAUUGUCGAGAAGGUUGGGGACUUUUCCCUAGAUGGGUGGGGAGUUAUUUGUAGGUCCCGACCGUAGGCAUAGAAACGGACCCAAAUACGGGACGUCUGGGCCAGCAGGUGGCGCUCGCUUUCCAGCUAAACAGUGGCUGGCCACAACAGGUACAAGUCAACUGCAGUGGCCCGCCCUGUUCAGACUUGGAGAGGACAGGACAGCGAUCUUGGUGAAAAGAUGAAAGGUUCUGGGUGCGGGGGUGGCGGAGUUGCGGGAGGGCUAGGGGACCCGGACGGGGUUUUCACUAUUGUCUCACAUUUAAGUCGACCCUGAGCAGCUGCCUGAACCCUGCUGAACAACAGAGAGAGAAUGUUGGGCAUUUGCUGAACUCCAGCCCCCAAACCUGGAGUAAGGGCUGUUGGAGAAAUCAAGCUGAAGAAUCCUGGUGAGACACAGUUGCCACAGGGAACCUUCCAGGAGGUUCCUCCUGAAGAUUUGCCCUGGAGAUACAGAAGAAAAACAUUUUUAAAACUUCCAUUUGGAGCUGGAAAGGUGGCCCAGCAGUUAAAAACCAACACCUGUUUUUACAGGGGACUUGGGUUCUGUUCCCAGCACCCAUAUGGUGGCUCACGACCUUGUGUAAAUCCAGUUCCAGGGGAUCUGACUCACUCUUUCACCGCCGUGGGACCUGUACACAUGUGGUAUACAGACAUACAUAAGGGUAAAACACACAUAAAAUAAACAGGCAAAUAUUUGUUAAUACUCCAUAUUGCUGGGGGGAUAUAUGGAUAUAUCCUAUAUCAGUAUAGUGUGCUUGCCUGGAAUGCUCAAGGCUCUGGGUUUAAUCUUUAACAUUGAAAAAAAAAUUAAUUGGAAAAGAGGUUAUUGUGAGCUAGAUGCUAGAUUUGGGGUUUGGAGUCCAAGUCAAAGGUCAUGUAUUCUAGAAGGACAAUUGAAGGAACCGAUGGAACAAGUUGGUUCUUGAGUCACAUGACUCCCUGGGGAAUCUCCCAGAAUCACCCACCUGAAGUUGCCAUUUCUGAACUGUCAGUAUCAUCGCUCUUGAGCUGUGAAGUCAUCGUUAAGUAAAAUAAGGGGUUACCCAAACAUAGCGCUUUGCUACUAUGACAACUGGGCUGAUAGCCAAGACAAUUAUUGGGUGAGUAAAAGGUGGCCAGAGGUUGAAGCCACGUCCUGUAAGAGAUGAUUUAGUUAGAGAUGAGAUCUUGUCACACAAUUGAGAGGAGCAUACGACUGAAAACGUAUGAAGUGUUUAUUUCUAGAGCUUUCCGUCUAAGGCUUUUGAACUUCAGCCAACCAUGAAACCACUGAAACCUCAGGAAGAAAAAUUUCGGGAGCGUGGGAGGCUGUUGUACCGUCACCAUAUUUCACAAAUCAUUGACUUACUUCACAGGCAAGUUUCGUUUGCUCAAAGCACUGCUUUAUGACUGUCACCUUCUCCAUGGAGACCCCCCACUUCUCAUCAACAGCUGCCCCUCCUCCACCCACCCACUCUCCCACUGCUAUUUGGAGUUGAAAGCUGUUCACGUUUCUAAAACCCGAUUUCUUGA